GGGGGCCGUGGCCGAAGGCCAGGUGGCCGGUGGCCCUGCGGUGGACGUCGAGGGUGUCGGGGUCGGAAAAGCGCGCCGGGUCGCGGUUGGCGGCCUGGU
rnacentral:tRNA from 1 species